GAAAGGCAGCUUAGGAAGUGGCGAGCUGGUGUCCUGGGCGGGGUUGUCAACCUCUGUUUGGCUUGUUUGGGGUUUCCUUGGGGACCCUUCCCCCCUGUCUCUACCCUGGGUCUGGAGAGGUCUUUGGGAGGACAGAUAAACAGACAGCUCUCCUGGACAGAUCACAUUUGUCCCUGGGGUGGCGCUGGCCAUGCUGUGCGCUGCCGCCAGGAACCGACCCUCAGAGGACGCAGGCAGCAGGUGUAUCCCCGGGCCUCCUCUGCUGGCUCGCUGAUGACGCGCAGCUGUGGGCACAUACCCGGCCAGGGGAGCUCGGCUCCAUGAAGGAGGGAACACAGGCGCCAUGAGCCCAUUUCCGGGGAGUCUCUGGGCGCAGCGCUGGAGGCCAUGUUCACGGGAAAGCAGGGCCCAGACUCGAAUGCAGCCGGGCAUCGGGGGCUUGUGGGGCCGGCCCAGCGAGACGGAAGGGAAGUCCAUGCCAAGAGGGGCAGGCCGGGGGGCGAACUUUCUAGUUUCUCUAUCAUUUUCAGAAUCAUUAUGUUUUAAUUUCCACCAAAAAGAAAAAGUGCCUUCUUGCCCUGACCGGUUUGGCUCAGUGGAUAGAGC